rnacentral:lncRNA from 1 species
GAGCAAAAGGUGAAAAAAGUCAAAAUAUUGGCAAGGAAACCCAUAUAACAUUCCAAAGAAAAAAUUGACAAGAUGAAACAUGGACCCAAAGCAGAGGAUUUUCCAGAUUCUCCAUCAAAGCCUUCAGAAAAGGAUUAUGUAGUUCAUCCUGAGUCUCAGAAGAUACCUGCUGGCCCGAAAAUAAAACCAUUAUGUCACAUUGCAAAAAGUAAAAGGUCUAAUAACUCAGUUGGUGUUAACAGUGAUGGGGAGGAAUUGCGUGAAGAGAAAGUCUUUUGAAGAUAGAACAGAUGAAAAGUUUUAUAGUCUUCAAUGUUUGAGGAUAGAGAUAGUGGUGAUGACUUCAUUUAAAAAGUCAGAUGGACCUGAAAGAAGGAAAGUAGUUGUCAUUCUUCAGUUUAAGCACAAAAACAAUAACAACAACGGCAAACCACUCUCAAAAAUGUUACCUGGCGAAGAUGUUCUUGAAUCUCAUUGGUAUAUAAGAAAUGACAAACAAAGUACAGAAGCCAGGAAGUUUGAAUCAGUAUUUUUCCAUUCUUUUUGAAAAGAUCAACAAAAUUGAUAGACCGCUAGCCAGACUAAUAAAGAAGAAAAGAGAGAAGAAUCAAAUAGAUGCAAUAAAAAGUAUUUUUCCAUUCUUUAUAUGGUUUUUAAAGCUCUAGAAGAAAUUACAGAGAACAGGCUUUUAAUAGCACAACUCCAGAUUUUCAGCGAAAUGAAUCUCAGAUCAAGAAUCAGUUUAAUAAGAGCACACAAAGAAGUCUUGAAAGUAAAAAACAGAAAUUGCAUCUGACUCUCCAUCCUGCAUUGGAAGUGAGCAGGAGGUGAAAAGCACAGCAAUCUAACAUUGUGGUUUCUGGGGAAACAUUACAUUUGAUGAUU